CGCAACGGGCUCUCUUUUCGUCGUUGGACGCCAUAGUGUGCGGUUGGUUCGAGCGAACGUGUAGUGAAGCAGCUUCAAUCGAGAGAGACAUAGGAGGUCUUUCGUUUACGGCGCAGAUACGGCGCUUCGAUGGCUGGAACGGAGACUCCAAACGUGAAGUCUGAGGGAGGGAACGCACCAGUUGAAAAUAACAGCGAAAAUAUGCGUGAUCGGAACCAAGCCGGUGGCGGCAGCGGAGGAGGCGGCGGCGGGGGGGGCGGAAGCGGCAGCGGCGGAGGUGGAGGUGGCGGUGGCCGUGGAGGUCGUGGUGGCCGAAAAGGCGGUACUCGUUUUUCGGGUGGUCGUGGAGGCGGCGGCGGCAGGAAUGAUGGGAUGAAAAUGAGUGAUUCCAUGGAUGGAGGCAUGGAUAAUUCUGAAGGCAUGGGUGGCGGAAUGGGUGGCGGAAUGGGUGGUGGGAUGGGUGGUGGAAUGGGUGGCGGAAUGGGUGGCGGAAUGGGUGGCGGCAUGGGCGGCAUGGGUGGCAUGGGUAUGGGUCGCGGCGGUGUAAUGCGAGGAAGUGGAAGAGGAGGUCGUGGCGGCGGUGACAGAAACAUAACCAAUAGAUCACAAGAUGAUCGAUUGAUGGAACGUGUCAUGGCUGUCAGUGGACCUACUCAUGAGCUUCCACCACAGGACACUACGGAAAAGAAGUUCAGUGGCCGAAAUCGUUUGUACGUUGGAAAUUUGACAAACGAUGUGACCGAGGAAGAAAUACAGACCAUGUUCCAAAAAUAUGGAGAAAUAUCCGAGCUGUUUGUGAAUAAAGAAAAAAGUUUUGCUUUUCUCAGAUUGGAUUAUAAAGCAAAUGCUGAUACGGCUAAGCGCGAACUAGAUGGUUCAAUGCGCAAAGGUCGUGCGCUAAAGGUACGCUUUGCUCCUCAUUCAUCGACUAUCAAAGUAAAGAAUCUAACGCCUUGGACAUCUAAUGAACUUCUUGAAAGAGCCUUCAGUGUCUUUGGCGAAAUCGAACGUGCGAUAGUUAAAGUUGACGACAGAGGUAAAACUACUGGUGAAGGAAUAGUUGAGUUUUGCCGGAAACCAUCUGCUCAGUUAGCCCUGAGAAAGUGCACAGAGGGUUGUUAUUUCAUUACGGCUUUGUAUUUCAGUUCCCUUCGACCAGUAGUUGUUGAACCAUUUGAACAACAAGAUGAUGUGGAUGGCUAUCCUGACAAGAGUUUACCACGCAAAAAUCCAGAGUUCUUCAAAGCGCGUGAAAUCGGACCACGCUUUGCACAAUCAGGUAGUUUCGAACACGAAUAUGGUACGAGAUGGAAGCAAUUACAUGAAUUAUACAAGCAGAAAGAAGAAGCACUUAAACGAGAAAUGGCAAUGGAAGAAGAAAAAUUGGAAGCCCAAAUGGAAUUCGCUCGAUAUGAACACGAGACGGAGCUUCUGAGAGAACAACUGCGCAUGCGCGAGGCGGAUCGCGAAAGGCAGAAGAGAGAAUGGGAAAUGAAAGAGCGACAAGCAGAAGAGCAGAGGACUCGCGAAGAGGAAUUAAGACGGCGUCAACAAGAAGAAAUGGCGAUACGUAUCAGAAGACAGGAAGAGGAAUUGCAUAGACGUCAACAGGAAAACAAUUUGUUUAUGCAGGAACAAGCAAUUCGCAGUGGUGGUGGAGGUGGUGGUGGUGGUGGCGGUGGCGGCGGUGGCGGCGGCGGCAAAAGUUACGAUUCUGUCAGUAGCAAUGAUCGUGAUGGAUAUGGUCAACCUGAUGGUGGAAGCGGCAUGCCAGUGAUAAGUGCUGUACCACCAGGUUGAUCAUCAAGAAAAAUGCUCACAGAAUAUAGUUUGAUACCUUGACACCAUUCUGAGGCUUUUGACGUCAUUGAUGACACCAACUAACAACUUUGUAUAUCUAAGGAAAGUCCGUAAUGAAAAACUAACACAAAUUGGUCUGAUAUAUAGAAUGCAUCAAUUAUAUUUUAAAGGAAAAUCCAUAAUGAAGAAGUAGCGCAAAUCGAUCUGAUAAAUAGAGCAUCAAUUAUAUUUUAAAGAGGAUUAAAAGGCGCACUCCCUCUCAAGAGUACUUUCCGGCAACAAGUAAUUGAAGGCUACUUUAGCUUUAUUUAAUAUAAAGCAUUCUAUACAAUAUGGUCCAGCAGUUGG